GUCCACGCCGUAAACGAUGGGCACUAGGUGUGGGAGGUGUCGACUCCUCCCGUGCCGCCGCUAACGCAUUAAGUGCCCCGCCUGGGGAGUACGGCCGCAAGGCUAAAACUCAAAGGAAUUGACGGGGGCCCGCACAAGCAGCGGAGCAUGUGGUUUAAUUCGACGCAACGCGAAGAACCUUACCUGGGUUUGACAUGUUGGUGACCGCCAUGGAAACAUGGCUUUCCUUCGGGACACCAUCACAGGUGGUGCAUGGCUGUCGU
rnacentral:rRNA from 1 species